AUUCUUACCUGGCAGGAAGAGACACCAUGAUUAUGAAGGUGGUUUUCUCAGGGCGAGUCUCGUCCAUUGCACUCUGGGUGUGCUGACCCCUGUGAUUUCCCCAAAUGCAGGAAACUUGACUGCAAAAAUUGUGGUUGUUAACUGCCCAAAGUGUUUUGGCUAU